CUUUGUAAGCAAAUUCUUCAAGAAACCAUAUUAUUUGGCAGCAUAUGAACCAAUGAUAUAUCCUGUCCCUGGUGAGCAUGACUGGACAAAGACCCCAGGUCCAGACAUAGAACCACCAGCAUUUAAAGUGAAGAAAGGAAGAAGGAAAGAGAAGAGAAUAAAGGGAAAAUUUGAAGUUCCAAAGCCAAAGUCCACCUCAAGAAUGGGGACAAUAACUUGUAGCAAUUGUGGAUUACAAGGGCAUAAAUACACAAACUGCCUUAAACAGUUGAAACCUGAGUUGGCCUUAAGAAAGAACAAACAUGUGAUCUCCUGCACCAACAACUAGGGCUCCUACACCAACACCUAAAGCUCCUACACCAACACCAAGAGCUGCUCCACCUGCAACAACUAGGGCUCCUGCUCCAACACCAGGAGGAAGAACUGGAAGUGCUGCUGGUAGAGGUGGUGGAAGUGGUGCUGGUAGAGGUGCAGGAAGAAGGGCUGGUGGUGGAAGAGGAUCUGGAAGAGCAUCUUCUAGUGCUCAAUCUUCUGCUGGGAGAGGUGCAAAUUCUUCAAGGCCUUUCUCUGCCCCAAGGCAGUAUGGUGCCUCAACUUCUAGUGCUCCUCCACCAACUGAUGGCACACACACUGGAUGGAUGGCCUGGUUCAAUGCUAGUAGAGGUGGCAGAAGGUGAUGCAAACUUCUGUUGAUUCUACAAUGUGCACCUGCUACAAUGUGGCAUGUUAUCUUUUGGUUUGAUGCCACUACAAUGUCUUGUAUUCCUGCUACAAUGUGCUUUAUUUUGGUUUGAUGCCACUGCAGUAACUUGUGCUGCUGCUACAAUGUGAUUUAUUUUGGUUUGAUGCCACUGCAGCAACUGUUGCUGAUGAUACA